rnacentral:rRNA from 1 species
UACGUAGGGUGCAAGCGUUAAUCGGAAUUACUGGGCGUAAAGCGUGCGCAGGCGGUUAUGCAAGACAGAUGUGAAAUCCCCGGGCUCAACCUGGGAACUGCAUUUGUGACUGCAUAGCUAGAGUGCGGCAGAGGGAGAUGGAAUUCCGCGUGUAGCAGUGAAAUGCGUAGAUAUGCGGAGGAACACCGAUGGCGAAGGCAAUCUCCUGGGCCUGCACUGACGCUCAUGCACGAAAAGCGUGGGGGGAGCAAACAGGAU